GCGGCUUUAGCUCAGCUGGAUAGAGCAAUGCCCUUCUAAGGCAUGGGCCAGGAGUUCAAAUCUCUUAAGCCGCACCA
rnacentral:tRNA from 1 species